UUAACUAUUAUAUAGUACUCAGACGACACUAACAUUCAGAGUUUGGGGUCCUCUGGCAGGCACGAUCCAGCCGGAGCCGGUGCCCGAGGGCGGCCUGCCAAAGCAACAAGAUAUAUUAUACAAGGGUGGGCGUUUCUACCCGUGAGGGCAGGGAACACUGUAAUGAUCCUUCCGCAGGUUCACCUACGGAAA
rnacentral:misc_RNA from 1 species